rnacentral:rRNA from 1 species
CCCUACUGCUAUCGGGGUGGGACUAAAACAUGCAAGUCGAGCGUCUCCUAGCCAUGGUGGAGGCGCGGCGUACAGCUCAGUAACACGUGGCUAACCUACCCUUAGGACGGGGACAACCCCGGGAAACUGGGGCUAAUACCCGAUAGGUGAGGAGGCCUGGAAUGGUUCUUUGUCGAAAAGGCGUUGAAACCAUGCUUUUCGACGUCGCCUAAGGAUGGGGCCGCGUCCGAUCAGGUUGUUGGUGGGGUAACGGCUCACCAAGCCUAUAACCGGUACGGGCCGUGAGAGCGGGAGCCCGGAGAUGGGCACUGAGACAAGGGCCCAGGCCCUACGGGGCGCAGCAGUCGCGAAAACUCCGCAAUGCGCGAAAGCGUGACGGGGCUAUCCCGAGUGCCGUCCGCUGAGGAUGGCUUUUCCCCGGUGUAAUGAGCCGGGGGAAUAAGGAGAGGGCAAGACUGGUGUCAGCCGCCGCGGUAAUACCAGCUCUCCGAGUGGUAGGGAUGAUUAUUGGGCUUAAAGCGUCCGUAGCCGGCUUAGUAAGUCUCCUGUUAAAUUCAGCGACCUAAUCGUUGAGCCGCGGGAGAUACUACUAGGCUAGGAGGCGGGAGAGGCCGACGGUAUUCUCGGGGUAGGGGUGAAAUCCUAUAAUCCCGGGAGGACCACCAGUGGCGAAGGCUGUCGGCUAGAACGCGCUCGACGGUGAGGGACGAAAGCUGGGGGAGCGAACCGGAUUAGAUACCCGGGUAGUCCCAGCUGUAAACGAUGCGGGCUAGGUGUUGGGGUGGCUACGAGCCACUUCAGUGCCGCAGGGAAGCCAUUAAGCCCGCCGCCUGGGGAGUACGGCCGCAAGGCUGAAACUUAAAGGAAUUGGCGGGGGAGCACCACAAGGCGUGAAGCUUGCGGUUC